rnacentral:rRNA from 1 species
GGGUCCUCACCGUCAGCCCAAUGGGCAUGGUUUCACCUCGUGUGUGUCUUGUACCCUUUGUUGACUUUCCUCAUCUCACGCUUGAGCUCAACACAGGUUAGAGGAUUGUUAGGUUUUUCCCUGCCGCCGCCGCCGCCGUAUCUAUCUGCCCAUCUCCGGCGAUUGGAGUCUUGAUCUCUUCUGGCUGGAGGAUUGGCUCCUCUCGCCCUGAAGCCCUCCUUCCUUGAGCAGCCCCUCUUGCCUCUUCACCAUAGGCCGAGGCCGAAGCGGGGGCACACCGGCGCCGCCCCGAGAUACUCUAUUGGCAGUGCGAAUCGACGCUGCCACCCAAGAUCUUCAACUACCCUUCCGCAUCCCUGCACCAACGACCAUGCGGCAGCAGCAGAUCCAUGGCGGGACGAUCUUGGCGGUUGGGAAGAGGACGCACUUGGACCAAGGACUAAACAUUGUGACCUGCACUGCUGGACUUUCUCUUGCUUACCGGAAAAUGGAGUGUCCAAUGGACACUCUGCUAUGGAGGAGGAAGAGGAAUGGAUGAUGAGAAAUUUCAUCACUACACAUUAUAUGUAAUAAACAUGCUCAUUAUUAGAUUUUUAUUGCAUCAUUAUUAAAUUUUCAUUAGCGGGAGAGACAAUUGCAUACUGCUCAGCCUAUUUGUUAGAGAGGAUUGUAGUGUCUGGCUUGGACAAGCGAAAAUGUACAUCUGCCCAGCUGUGGUAUCUCAUGUUUGACUUCCCUGAAAUCUGAAAUGUCCGGAACUGCUCAAAUUUAUAGGUCGGCAUCUUAAAUUUUCUUUCUUAGAUAGAUGCUUCUUUAUUACGAGUUGAUUUUGUGGUGUUGACAGAGUUUGCUGAAUAAUUAGAUUCUUAGAUGCAGUUCUUAAAUAUGGAUGAGAUACCGGAAAGGAGACUUGUGGUUCCACUUUCUUUUAUAUCCUCUUCCUCGACCUGAUUUACUUUUCUGAUAAUGCAACAAGCUGGACAAUAAUUAGAGGGCAGCAGAUGAGACUGGGUAUUGUCGUGGGAUGUGUCAGCACAUGCGUGUCUCUCCCAUUAUGACGACCUGGCUGCCUAUCUUCCCAGAAUGUAGGCCUUGAUCAAGCGGAAUGACUCCCCUCAGUUUGUUCAUUGUAGUACCAUCACUGAGCAUGACUUUUGUAAUUGAAAGGUAUGAACUCCGAGUUAUUUCUCUUCCUAAAACAGUAGACAUUGCAACCAGCCGAUCAUGUAAAGUGGGUCUUAAGAACCUCUGGUCAUAAAAAAAAGUUUCCUAUAGUGUUUUGCAAGAUAUACCCAGCAGAACUUUACUGAAUCUUCUAAGCUUGAUGGCAGUGUGUAUCAGAUAUUGCAUAUAUGAUCACUUCCUGUAAUGAUCGGCCAUGUAGAAAAACUUUAAAAGACAGGCAAAUAAAAACGACAAGCAGCAGCUAAAACAGAAAUAACUAAAAAUAUAACUUUUUCCAAGAAAGUUUCAUUUGUGCUCUCCACAGGGAUGGCUCAAACGAUAAGACAUGUUAUUCACGAUAACCCUUUUUUCGAAAUUAUAUUCCUUCUUUUAUACAACUUAGCAUUGAUGACUCACAGUUGUACAACACUAGGUU